UGUCUGCACACUAUAGUGAUUGGUCGUAUCACUCACAGGAGGCGGGAGAUGAGUCAACGAAAUCAAAACAAAUGCACAUUUUCAAGAAAUCUGUUGCCAAAGUCUGGCUAAACGCUAAAAACACGAGUUUUUACACAUACACAGUGUAUGUUUAGUUCUGAAGAAGGCUAAACAGCGUCUUUUAGCUUUAGCUUUUAGCUAAGCUAGCGCGCAGCAUGCUAAACCGUUUAGCUACAACUGCUUUGGGACAGUUGUGCUUCUGUAAAGUUGCUGGGUGGCACCGCGAACCGACGCCGAACUUCAGAACACUGGACCGAGGAUCACACAGGGCCCACGUGGACCCGGAAGGCGAACUGCGCGUUAUUAAACCAAGUGGGGCCGCACAGGACGUUUGUUUCCCGGCUAUUGCUUCCGUCGCCAUUGAAACCUUAAGCCAGCUGUAAUCAACAGGAGCCGCCUAGCAGAUGAGAAAACACAGCAAGUGUCCUGCAUGAUGACAAUGUGGCUCCAUCACCCCACAAAGCUUUUGUUGUAACCACACCAGCCUGAUAGUUGGAGAAGUGGAGGACUGAACACCAUCAUCGCUUGUAUCCCAUGUUUGACUGGAUGAUGGCGUUGCAUAGUUUCAUUCUUGUUCCUGUCACGUCGAUUUUUCACAUUUUUCAUAUAACAAUGGGAUUGAGUUUAAAAUGUCAAUUCAUUUGGAAAUAAAGAAUUCCAAGCAUUUUAAUUGUACA
rnacentral:lncRNA from 1 species